rnacentral:rRNA from 1 species
ACAGAUCGUUCAGUAGUUUGAUCCUGCUCAAAGUGAACGCUGGCGGCGUGCCUAAUACAUGCAAGUCGAACGGAGAUUAAGUGGCUUGCUAUUUAAUCUUAGUGGCGCACGGGUGAGUAAUGUAUAGCUAAUCUGCCCCAUAGUAGAGGACAACAGUUGGAAACGACUGCUAAUACUCUAUACUCCUUCUUAAUAUAAGUUAAGUCGGGAAAGUUUUUCGCUAUGGGAUGAGGCUAUAUCGUAUCAGCUAGUUGGUAUGGUAAUGGCUUACCAAGGCUAUGACGCGUAACUGGUCUGAGAGGAUGAUCAGUCACACUGGAACUGAGACACGGUCCAG